ensembl:lncRNA
GGCUUGGGGAGGCCGGGAUUUGCCCCCGCCCCCAGAACCGGAACCGGGACCGGGACCCCCGAACGGGACCCGGACCGGGACCGGAACCGGGACCCCCGAACGGGACCGGGACCGGAACCGGGACCCCCGAACGGGGCCGGCACUGGGAACCCCGAACGGGACCGGGACCGGGACUCCUGGACGGGACCGGGACCGGGACCGGAACCGGCACCGGGACCCCCGAGCGGGACCGGAAUCGGGACUCCCAAACGGGACCGGGACUGGACCCCUGAACAGGACCGGAACCGGGACUCCUGACCGGGACCGGCACCGGAGAUCCACGGAUCGGAGUCCCCGACCAGAACCGGGAGCGGGGUUCCCCGAACGGCACCGGAGCCCCGGGACCGGAUCUUCCUCACCCGGAGCGGAACCCCUGGAUCAGAACCCCCUGACCGGGACCGGAGCCCCCGGGACUCCCUGGGCGGUACCGGAGCCCCCGGGACUGCCUGGCCGGUACCGGUACCGGAGCCCCCGGGACUGCCUGGCCGGUGGCGGUACCGGAGCCCCCGGGACUGCCUGGCCGGUUCCGGUACCGGAGCCCCCGGGACUGCCUGGCCGGUACCGGUACCGGAGCCCCUGGGACUGCCUGGGCGGUACCGGGAGCGGACCCGGGCCCGACCGCAGCGGGACCGGAGCCAGGCGGGCCAAGCGUCUCUUCGACGUCCUGCACGAGCCUUUCGUCAAGACGCCGCGAUGAGCCCCAAACUCCUCAAAAGUCACCCCAAAAAUCCCAAUAAAAUCCCCCCAAAAUCACCCAGAAAUAAUUAAAAAAAUCUCCCCAAAAUCUCCCAAAAAAUUCACGAAAAAAUCCCCCCAAAUGCCCACCCAAAAGCCUCAAAAAAUCUGUACAAAAAUCCCACAAAAUUCCCCAAAAAACUCUCAAAAAUCCCCAAAAAUCCCCCCCACAAUCCCCCAGAAAUAAUUUUUAAAAUCUCCCAAAAAUACCCCAAAAAUCCCCCCAAAUACCCCCCCAAAAGCCUCAAAAAUCUCUCCAAAAAAAUCCCACAAAAUUCCCCAAAAAACUCUCAAAAAUCCCAAAAACCCCAAAAUCUCCACAGAGCUCCAGAAAGUCCCCAAAAAUCCCCCCCCAGGAUCCCAAAAUCUCAAAAAAAUCCCCCAAAAUCCUCCAAAAAUCCCCACCCCAAAAAUCCCCGAAAUCCCUCAAAAAAUUCCCCCAAAAAUCCCCCAAAAGGCUCGAAAAUGCAAAAAAAAUCCCCAAAAUCCACCAAAAAAUUCCCCUGAAAUCCCCUCAAACCUUCAAAAACCCCCACAAUCCCCCCAAAAUCUCCCGAAAAUCUCCCAAACCCCCGAAAAAUCCCCCAAAAAAUCUUUCAAAAAUCGCCCAAAAUCCACCAAAACCCCCCCCAAAACCUCCCCCAAUCCCCAAAAUCCUCCCAAAAAUCUCCCCAAAAUAUCCCAAAAAUCCCCCUAAAAAACCCCGAAAAACAUCCCCAAAAUGCCCCCAAAUCUCCCAAAAAUUUCCCAAAAUCCCCUCAAAAAUCCCCCAAAUUGCCUUUUUUUUGUAAUAAAGGACAUU